AUACGGUUCACCAACACCAACACGACUGCCUUGUGAUAGGUGCUGGAGGAGCGGGUCUCAGAGCUGCUGUUGGUCUCGCUGAAGCUAAUUUUUCGGUUGCUCUCGUCAGCAAACUGUUCCCCACUCGUUCGCACACUAUUGCUGCCCAAGGUGGCAUGAAUGCAUCCAUAGGUAGCAUGCAUGAGGAUGACUGGCGUUGGCACUUUUACGACACAGUGAAAGGAUCCGAUUGGCUUGGCGAUCAGG
rnacentral:misc_RNA from 1 species